rnacentral:tRNA from 1 species
GUUCUUGUAGUUGAAUACAACGGUGGUUUUUCAAGUCACUGGUCCUAGUGAAAGUCUUGGCAGGAACU